GUGAAUCAUCGAAUUUUUGAGCGCAAAUUGCACUCUCCUCGGAGAGUAUGACUGUUUGAGGGUCAGACUCUAAAAAUAGACAUCGUUGCUGACUCCCGGUCACGUUUGUCGGAAACUGGGCCAUCUUACAUCUUUUGGUUUAAGCGACUUAAAAAUUUCUUUUUGAUUCCAUGAACGUUUCUAUGAUUUAUUUCUUUACACGUUUAAGGUAUCGAUUUAUUAGACGUGUCCGUCAUAUCGGAUCGCGUCCAUAAUCUUUCAUUAACUGCCUU
rnacentral:misc_RNA from 1 species